GGAUUCUGUUCCAAGGAGGAGGUGAGACAAGGGCCAGUUUCUGGGUUGCUCCUGCAUAUCCCAUCCAAACCACUCCGCUCAAGCGAAGGUCUUGUGUGGAGUCUGUGUGGUGAGCUUGCAAGGAAUGCGGUGAGAUGCAAAGUGCAAGGGCCGGGCUGUGCACAUCGCACAUCUUCUCAGCACCUGGGAUGCAGAGAGUAAACCAAAAUUGAUGAAAACUAGCAGAGGAUACAGGAUGAAAAGGAGCACAAGGAAAGAUGAAAGACAGAAGAACCAAGGAGCACUGCCUAGACCCUAACAAUGUGAGAAGCUGCAAAAGAUAAGGUUAAACAAGAUGUAGCCAGAGGCAGAUAGAAACCUCCCUUGCUGUUCACGAAGGACAGAUGUGUGCUCACCACAGCGCCUCUGACCUUACUGUUCACCUAAGCAGCGGUGGGACAUCUGAAGGAGCCUUAAUUCCUGAUGCAAAAUACAACAGAGAGAGAUGAAUGCUUGAAGAUGUCUAAGAAGGUUUCAUCAGCAGCAGGAAGAGAGAAGGCACAGAAAAAAAUCACCAGAAAUUCCUCCAGAAAAUUGCUUCUUAUACUGUCCUCUAGAUUGGCUUAACCCUGAAGUGCAGGUUGACCUGAAUUCAGCUAUGAGAAAUGUCAUUUUGACUUAGUCCAAACAGAAAUCAUCCUGCCUGCUACCCACACCCAGCCGAGCUGCGCAGUCUGGAGGUCUGGGUGGGUGGCAAACCAUGGAGGCCUCUGCAAGGAAGUGGCACUUGUAGAUAAUCCCUUGUGAAUUCUCAUUACACAAAUUGCAAAGUGGUGGUGAUGACAGAUGUGGACAACGGGCUUUCUCAGCGUGUGACAGCCUGUCUGCAUUCAGUGAGCCAAGCUCCAGCCAUCCCUACACAUACUGCUGAUCUCAGCUGAGUGUUGAGGUGCUGUUUUGUGUGGGAGAGAUGUGGAUGUGCUGCAGAAUGAUUUUUGUAGCAGUGAAUUUACUAAUGCACAGAAUAGACUCCUUUUACAACACAAUGCACUCAAUAUUUCUGACGAAGUGCUGCCAGUUUCUUGAUAGUCGAGCCAUCAACUUUUGGACAAAAUAAUUGCUGGCAAUAUUUUGUGAUUACUCAUUGUUUUCCACCUGCCUCUGAAAGAGUGAAUUAAUUAAGUUUCUCAACAGCCAUAUGAAGCAAGUGUUACAUUAAUUAAAACACGCAUGGCUCUGGAGAACCUACUGUCCAUCCAAGAAGUCAUACUUUAGCCAAAUAAAAUGCAAGUCAGCUUUCUGGUGCAGUGUUGAAACCAAAUGAGAAAUGCAUCUGCGUACCAAACUGUUACAGUGCUCAAAGUGAAAGUCAGAUAAUCACAUUUUAUGGGCUCUGCUCCACAUUGUUGUUUUCCAUUGGAAAUCUAUACCAAUAACAAGACAAUAGAAAGAACAACCCAGAUAGAGCUACUGCAAGCCUCUAAAUAAUUACAGACUUUAGGUACACAUAGGGUUUUCUUUUUGAAACUGAUUAAUCAGUCAUUCCUAAUUUAAGAAUAAAAAUUACGUAUGCCACAUG